GGUUGAGGUGAUCGAGAUCGAUCCACCGGAAAAGUCUGUAAGAAAGGUUGAUUAUCUGAUUUUGCUUCAACAUCUAUCCAGAUUGGGUACGGAGCAUUUCUCGAGUAGCACUGACCCUAUUGAGGCAGACGAGUGGAGGAGUAGGCUGGCCCGAAACUUUCAAUCAACUCGCUUUCCAGAGGAUUACAAGCGAGACAUUGCCGUUCACUUCUUGGAAGGGGACGCGCAUAAUUGGUGGCUUGCAGUGGACAAGCGCACCAAUGGAAGUCUCGAAAGUUUUGCGGAGUUUGAAGUUGAGUUCAACCGCAAAUACUUUCUUGCUGAGGCUUGGGACCGUCUGGAAGGUAAGUUCCUAGACCUGGUCCAAGGCCGCAGAACCGUACGGGAGUACGAAGAGGAGUUUAACCGACUCACACGGUUCGUUGGAAGGGAGUUGGAGGACGAGGCGGUCCAGGUUCGUAGGUUCAUCCGAGGCCUAAGGCCGGAACUGAAAACCCACUGCUCAAUCCGCACUUUCAACACUGUCGGGGAACUAGUUGAACGGGUGGCCUUGCUGGAGUCUAACUUAGCUGAGGAAGCUAAGCUUAAGGCUAUGAUGUGUUGUGAUUUUGCAUAGUUUUAGCUUUGUUAUUUCAUAUAUAUUCAUGCAUUAACCUUACAUUUAUUUGCAUUUAGAGUCUAUUGCAUGUACAUUUGCAUCUUGUAGGUGUUGGAUGAAUUGUUUGGAGUUUUGGAGGUGAUUAGAGCACAAAAGGAGCUUUCGAGGAGUCUUGAACCGAACGUGUGAAAGACAAGCAUGGAUGAAGGUCCUAAAGAUAUAUUUUGAAACUUGUCUUUUGGGAAGACAUGGCAAAUUGAGUUAGCUUUACAAUGGAGGUGGUUUCAAGUCGUUUGGAGCUGUAUUGAGGGAUUUAUGAUCAAAAUACUACACACAUAUCAGUGUGUGCAACAUGGAGAAAGUGGAGAAAACUUUAAUGAGUGAGUUUUAUCUCUUUAAAGCUUGCAACAUGGGGGAUGGGUUGUCUAUCAUGAGUUUGGUGGCUCUUUUGGCCUAACUUUCUCUACCUUUUCUGAAGAGGCAAGACUACUUUGGCCAUAUGAAGGGGCAAAAGGUGUUCUAUAAUGGAAGAAAGUGGAGAAUAACUUUUAUGAGUGUGUUUUAUGCUUUAUGCUUUCACAUGAUGGAUGUGUUGUCAUCCUCCUUUACUUAGGCUAUAAAAGAGACUGCAAGGGGAAGGAGGAAGACACACAAUACACAGAGUACAAUACAACAAAGAGUAGAGAGUGAAAGUUUUAUAGUUUCAUAUUUUGUAUUUUGAGAGUUUGAGAGAAAACAUUUGUUCUUGAGCUGUUCUUCAUUGUUCAUCAUCUAUUCUUGAGUUUUAAUUUC